rnacentral:tRNA from 1 species
CUGGGUAUGCUUAGUGGUAGAGCACUUGCCUAGUAUGCAUGAGGCCCUGGGUUCAAUCCCUAGUGCACACA